GACGAACGCUGGCGGCGUGCUUAACACAUGCAAGUCGAACGGUGAAGCGCCUUCCUUUUUGGUGGGUGUGGAUGAGUGGCGAACGGGUGAGUAAGACGUGAGUAACCUGCCCCCUUCUUCUGGAUAACCGCAUGAAAGUGUGGCUAAUACGGGAUAUUCUGGGUCUGUCGCAUGAUGGGUCUGGGAAAGAUAUUGUUUCGGUGGGGGAUGGGCUCGCGGCCUAUCAGCUUGUUGGUGGGGUGAUGGCCUACCAAGGCGGUGACGGGUAGCCGGCCUGAGAGGGUGGACGGUCACACUGGGACUGAGACACGGCCCAGACUCCUACGGGAGGCAGCAGUGGGGAAUAUUGCACAAUGGGCGCAAGCCUGAUGCAGCGACGCCGCGUGAGGGAUGGAGGCCUUCGGGUUGUGAACCUCUUUCGCCAGUGAAGCAGGCCUGCCUCGUUUGUGGGUGGGUUGACGGUAGCUGGAUAAGAAGCGCCGGCUAACUACGUG
rnacentral:rRNA from 1 species